GGCGCUCGGCUUCGCCUUCGUCCGCUUCCCCGACAGGCGCGGCGCCCAGGACUCCGAGGACGCCUUGGACGGGGACCUCCGGGACGGCCGCCAGCUGCGCAGCACACACCGGGCGUGCUACGGCCACCCCCGGGACUCGCGCCGCAGCCGCCUGGGACCGUCGCCCCGCAGGUGCGGCAGGGCCGGCUACAGACCCCGUGGCCGCAGCCCGAGGCGGCGUCGCCGGGGCCUGUCGCGGAGUCCGGGCCGGUCCCGUUCCCGCAGCCGGUCGCGCUGCAGCCGCUGGGUCCCGCGCUCGCUCUCUGUCGCCCUCCAGAUCCAGCUGGGCGCGAAAGUCCAAGUCCUCCUCGGUGUCCAGAUCUCUCUUGAGGUCCAGGUACGGGCCCCUGUCCAGGAGUCCUCACCCCGUGUCCAGGAGGGAAUCCGUGCCCACGUCGCGAUCCGGGAGUUCCUCCCAAGUCUCCUAAACAGGAAGGAGCAGUGUCUUCUUAAGAAAAUGACAUAGGGGUCAGCAACGGAAAGCAGGACUUGGGGGAAAGGACCACAUACUCUGCCCAUCCAAGGGCUCCUUGGAACCAGCAGCUGGCUACUGAAAAGGUUCUUUGGGAACAUGUGACUACCUUUUUACUUGUAGCCUUAGCCUCGGGUGGCAAACUUCAUUUCCCCUGCCAUUUCUAAUUUCUUAUAAUUUAGUGAGGCAAACGAUUUCAGAUUUCAUUAUUGGACUUGGAUAUCUGAGGGCAAGAUUUUUUUUGUCCUAGGAUUCCCAGGGCAUCGAUCUGCCUGGGAAGAGAUUGUGAUGUUGCUGAAGGAGAACAAGCAGAGAUGCAGCAUCUAACAUUCAAAAUUGGAAUGUGAGCCAGGCUACCAUCUUCAGAGACUUUUCAGAAUUCUUUUAUUUCUCUGCACUGCCAUAUCUGCAAUCUAAUACUAUCACCUAAUUUUAGUAAUCACCAGUUCUCACCAGGAAUACAAGAGCAAGAACAUCGGGUCUACUGCUGAGGUGUGUAUAAAGCAGUCAUCCUGAUGCUAAUUUGAUGGAGCUCACCCCAGCAAAUAACAAAGUCUCAAAUAGGUUUUCAACAAACCUCUUGUGUUUAGCCUCAUUUUCACUCCCAACUCCAGAGGUAACUGGUGUCACAAAAUCUUGACCCCUUUUGAUUCUGCAUGUGGAUUGAGCUGUUGUCUUGCUUUUCUCCCUGCCAUCAAGGAUUCAGCUUUCUAGAGUUUAUUAACAUGGUUCUCACUUUUCCAGCUUCUUGUCUCCUACUCAGUUGUCCUCACUAUAUAAUAGAUGCAAUAAAAUGCAGAGAUCUUAGGUCUUCACUUCGGUAACUUUGAACAAUUUUAUACACCUAUGUAAUUAUCACCCAAAAUGAGAUGUAGAACAUUCCCAUAACAUUCUCUCAUGUCUGGAACUUUCCAGACAAUUUUCACUCCCCACCAGAGUGUACAACUUUCUGAGUUCUGUAACCAGAGUGCAGUUUGGCAUAUUUUUGUAAUGAAUAAAAAUGAUAUGGUACAGUAUGUUUUCCCUUGAUCUGGCUUCCUUUCCCCAACCUGACGUUUGUGAGUUUCAUCUAUCUUGCUCCAUGUACCAGACCUUCAUUGCUUUUUAUUGCUGAAUAAUACUUUAAUAAACUAUAAUUUUUCCAACCUUG